AAAAUAUUUUUAAAGGAAGGAAAGGUGAUCAAUGGCAAAUUUGAACUUACGGCGCCUAUGAUCAUGCCGAAAGAUAUCCUCCUCUUCUAUUUAAUCGAUCUUGUUUAUUAAUAUCUUUAGCCACAUUGUUUAUUAGGAGGUUUGUUAAAUCAACGUCAAAGUCAAAAUAAGAAAUUUCAAAUCAAACAAAAUAGAAUAAAAAUUUAUUUUUACGUUUUAUUUAUUGAAUUUAACGAUUUGUGUAAUGUUAAACAAGAAAUUUUAAACGAUUCUCCAUGGACAAGAACCAACAAAGAGUUCAAAAAUGCAUUCAGAAUCUGGUAUAAGUUAUUGUGUCCAGAGGUUUGGCGUGUUUCACAGAAUCCUCCAGCAAAAACAAUAUGUAAAUCACCCAAAGAAACUACUGAAAGCUGAGCCUGACAAACCUGAGGUAUCAUCUACCUGGCUGCGACUUAUACUUAUGUUUUGGAAUUUUAAAGUGAUGAGGGCUGCUCUUCGUUUUGGAGUAGCAGCUCUGAUUAUGAACCACUAUGAGCGAUUAGGUUUUGCUACGUUAAUACUGUGUAUUGCUUUGUGACUAGAAUAGUGGCAACUUGAAUUUUGCUGAGUUAAUGGUACAAAAGAUAUUGAUGGAGCACACCACUGGUAAUUUUUCUUCACUCUGGAUAAUCACUGCUUAACUGUUAACUGACAAGGUAUUUAGGUAUUUCAGAGUAUAUUAAAAAAUAUGAAAUUUGGUUUUUGGUGUUAGUUUGGCAUUGCAAACAAUAUGCAAUAACAAUAAAACUCACGGCUUUUACUGCAUACUAUAAAAGCAAAUCUAAAUAUACAAUAUCUACACCUACCCUUGGUAAUGUGUUUGGCUCAAUGAGCAACUGAAUCCUGUGACUUGUGGUACAGUCACGGUUACUGAAUAGUUUACACCUUCAUUUUUAUAUUGUAAAACUGUAAAAUCACAGCGUUGUACAAUUUAUUAAACGUCAAAUUGCUUCUCAAAAAUUUCAUGCGUAUUGAAAAAUAAAAUAAAAAACUAAUAAACACGUGCAAAAUGCCAUUUAACCCUUAAACGUCCAAGGGUGGGUAAAAAAUGUCCACCUAAUGCGUAUUCCCUUGUAACAUAUUUAUUACAUGUUUAAAAAUUUUUAAAAAAAUAUUUAUUGUUAAAUAGACAGCCCUUUAUCGAAUGUUAAUUUGGUUCUACCAAUAUUUUUGAAAAUAAAAGUAGCAUCUUGAGUUAAAUAUGGGUGGGCAUAAAAAGUGCACCAUUGCUAAAACUUGUUACUAAAGGUUUCUAUAUAAUUUCUCGUUGGUAGGAAGAUAAUCCAUAUAAUUAUCGAUGUAUAACUACAUAACCUACAUAAUUAUCCGCCAAUCAGGAGGUUGAAAGGAAGAAUGUGGAGAAAAUCGACAGGUCUGAAUUACUGGCUUUUACUGGUAUGUUAAUUUUGAUGUAUAUUGUAAUUUUGUUGUAAGGUUUGUAAAUUGUUUAUAUUAAUAUUUUAGAAGAUGCUGUGUUUAUUAAGCAUAAGAAUCUUAAGUUUAAUCCGUUUCCAACAACUCUCAAUAAAUAUAUUAGCUAUUUUCGAGGUGGACAUUUUUUACCCACCCUUGGGCGUACAUGGAACCUGAAAAAGGUUGGGCAUUUAAGGGUUAAAUCAUGCACAAAACCAAGAGCAAUUGCCAAACUCAAUAAUUUUAACACAAUUUUAUUCAAAAAAACUUCUUUCUACAAUUUCCGUUUUGUUACAUUUUGUAAAGUAUUUUUGAUUUUAUUUUGAUUUUUUAUUUUGAUUUUUUAAUUUUAAUCAACCUAUUCUGGAUCUGCCACUGGUAACAUCACUUUGAUGUAAUAGGUGCGUUUAAACGGAAUAAAAAUUCAAAAAAUUGGCCACUUGAUAUUAAAGGGUAUUAUUGAGGAUAUUAUUUAAACACAAGAGAUUGGGGGUGUAUCACAACUGUACUUACAAGAGAUUUAAUUUUAAUUUUAGUCUGCAGAGACAGUCAACCUUUUUUACUUUCUUUUUUGUGUGUGAAAGGAAACUUGUUAGCUCUAUACUAAAAUCACAAUAAGGAUGCACUAGAAAUAAAAAAAACCAAUACACUUAAAUGUUACGAGGAGCACUCUCAAGUCAUGAUUUACAAAGUUUAUACAUUGUAAAUCAUUAUUCGGGAGUGCUCCUCGUAGUAUUCAACGUGUUUUGGUUUGUUUAUUUCUAGUGCAUCUUUAUUGUGAAUUUAUUAUUAGUCUAAAUGUUUUCAAAGGCUAAAUUUGAGCAAUGCAGUCAUUUUGUAGAGCAUUAUAAUGCAAUGUUUACAGAUAUAUUCAAUAUCCAAAUCAGAAUGGGAAAAUACCAUCUCUUGGCUCUACUUCAAUUUCUAUACAAUCCAAGCAUAGAGUCUGCCUGAUCAACCCCUUACAUCUGCCUCUUAUAUUGGCUAAUUAGAGUGGAACAGGGUACAUUUACUUUUCUUUUUUCAGUUUUAUAGAAUAUUUGUACAUAAGCUCAUAAAUCUGACGGUACUCAAUAAAAGUAUAACUUUAUUGAAAGUCGCUUACCUUGUUGCUUUUCAAUAUUUAUCCCCUGAUUAUCUUUGAACUAAUUGUUUUCAAACUUAGUAUACCAUAUAUUUUUUCUUCAGAUGAAUAAAAAGUUCCAGAUCAGAAAACCAGUUGUCACAAAAAAGGACUCCUUAUGGAAAAGUGGUCCUGGCCAAAUUUAACGAAAGUUUGGUCAAUGAUACUUCUUGAUGUGUAGAUUAAAAAAGUCCAUUGGACCUGGGUCUGAAUAACUACUAUUCUCGAGCUACAGCCUUCUGCAUUUAUUGGAUUUGAGUGCUCAGUUUAUGUUACGUGCACUAAUUCACAGUCAAGUGAACGAAAAUAUUUAUUAUUGGAAGAAGAGGACUCAUUUUCUUCAUGCAUACUUGCCUAUUGUAUAUGAAUAUGUGGUCAAAAAUAGAGAUGCAUUGUAUUUUAGUCUUCAGAAAAGUCCUCAGAAAACUAAAGAAGUGCGAUAUAAAAUGUGCUACUAGAGCGAUGUAAGAAUAAUCAUGUUUUCAUGAAUGCUUCACAGUUAUGCAAUACCAGCAAAGCUGCAGUUCCACCUUAUCUUUAGAGUACUACUGAACAGUGGCGGAUCUAGGGGGGGAUGGGGGAAUUCCCCUGUAACACGGUCCAGAACUAAAGAAAAAGUUGUCGGAACAUAAAAAAUACAUUAGCUGACAUGUAACUUGUCCCGUAUAUCAGAUAAGACAAGUAGAGAACAUGGACUUGAUCUCAAUAUGAAAUAAACAAAGUAGGUACCUGGUAGUGAGUAAACACUAAUUAUUAAUGUUGUUCUGAAGCUAUUUCUUUGGGGAAUUUUUGUAAUUAACUAUUCUAAAUGGGAAAUAAGCCACAAUUUAACUAAGAAAAUGAUUUUAUUUUGACAAUGACGUCCGAUGUGGACGUCGAAACGUUAAUAAAAUCAAUUUUUAGUUAAAUUGUGGCUUAUUUUCCAUUUAUAAUAGUUAAUUUUAAUUGCUAAAUAUUAAUUACAAUUGCCUAUGGAAAGAUCGGGUUUAAGUCAUUUUCGACUAUCUGUACAUUACUAUUUGCUGAUUUCAGUUAGAUGCGUCAUAUGUCGUGUUAACUAACAGCCUAUGAUACUUAACAUUGGGUUGACGUCUUGCAAAGCCUAAAAACAGUAACACACUGGAUGAGCACAAGCACCGACAGUUCUCGCACCAGAUUGACAGGUACAAUAGUACCUGCUAAUCGGUUCUUCUGCUGGCUCAUCUUCAUCAACCGUGUAGAAAAUGAAUAUUUGGUGUUUUGUAGCUUGCCGAAAUCUAGAAAAUAUUUUUUGAACUCCCGGUUCAUCCAUAUUCUCAUCAAUUUGAAACUCUUGAUCAUUGUCUCUAAUUAUUUUAUCUUGUAUGUGAAGGUGUCAGUUGAACUUGAUAUAUCUCAAUCGUAAGGUCUUUUAGGUAUUCUAAGUCGAAAACAGGAAAGUUGGCAAAAUCAUGAUUAUGAAGCCUUCUACCUAUGAAGCCAUUGACCAUUUCUUCUAAUCAGAUUAUCAGUCUCAACUCUAGCUUGUACAACAUUGGGAAUUAAUAACCUCUGUAAUAAUUAUAAAAAAGAUCAUCUGUAAUAAUUUUUGAGCAGCUUCAGCUGUAGCACCUUCCAUAGUACAAUAUUUUGUAUUAAAAAGUUCAUCAUCACUGGCUCUAGAACCCCUGGUGGACCUCGGCCUGUUCAAGAAUCAGCUUCCAUUCCUUCAUAUCCUUCGCCUUGGUUUUCUAAUCUCGUACUCUUAACACCCGUCACUCGUCUUCCACCUGGUCCUUAAAUGUACUCUGGGCCUACGUCUUUUCCUCACACCAUCCGGUCUUUGGUUAUAAAUAUGUUUUGACGGCUCCAUCUCGCUCAUUCUCGUUAAAUGAAGAACAUUUGUUUUCUUUAAUUCUGGAGCAUGUUACGGGUGGAAUUAUCCCAUUUCCCCCUAUACCUGCCACUGUUAAGUAGUAUUCUAAAGAUAAGGCGGAACUGCAGCUUUGCUAGUAUUGCAUAACUGUGAAGCAUUCAUGAAAACAUGAUAAUUCUUACAUCGUUCAGUAGCACAUUUUAUAUCGCACUUCUUUAGCUUUCUGAGGAAUUUUCGGAGGUUUUCUGAAGACUAAAAUAUGAUGCAUUUAUUUUUGACCACAAAUUCAUAUACAACACGCAAGUAUGCAUGAAGAAAAUGACUCUUUCUUCUUCCAAUAAUAAAUAUUUUCGUUCAUUUGGCCGUGAAUUUGUGCACUUAACGUAAACCGAGCACUCGAAUCCAACAACUUCAGAAGGCUGUAGCUUGAGAAUAAUAGUUAUUCAGACCCAGGUCCCAUGGACUUUUUUAAUCUACACAUCGAGAAGUAUCAUUGACCAAACUUUCGUUAAAUUUGACCGGGACCACUUUUCCAUAAGGAGUGUUGCGGGGUCCUUUCUGAAUUUGGCAGAUUAUCAUAAUAAACAGAAAAAAACUUGCUAUAAACUUGCAAUGUUGCUUUUUCGUUACAUAAUUUUUUGAAUGCAGAUUUUACUGCUACAUAGUACUAUGGUCAUUGUAAAUAUUUCAAAAAAUGAACUUCUUAAUGGAUAUUAAGAGGUUUAAUUGAUAAGACGUACAGAUUGGGAAUAUUGUACACUAGGGUGACCAAACGUCCCGUAAAAACGGGAUUGUCCCGUUUUUCGGGACGCCUAAAUGUCCCGUAUUUACGUUGGGUUGAUUUUAUGUAUCUGAUUAUAUUUUCUCUCUUUAAUUCUUCUUCAAUUUCGGCAUUUGUUUUCACUCUUAUUUCUCCCUCUCUUUUUACAUUGAGGCCCAGCAUUGUUCUCAUUAUUUUUCUUUCAAAUUUCAGAGGGCUACUCCUUUUUCUUGUUAAUCGUCGUUGUUUCCAUCCCAUAUGUAACAACAGGUCUUAUAUAGGUUCAUCUUUGUUCUCUACUUAGAGUCUUGCUUCUCAGCAGAUUUCUAUUCAUUCCAUAUGUUUUUUGCCUUUCAAAAUUCUUUCCUCUGUUCCCUCUUUUUCGGUUUUCCCUAUUGUUACUCCCAACUAGGUAAAGGUGGAUACAAUUUCAAAUGUAUGGUUUUGUGUUAAUAGAUAUUUCUGAGUUGUUCUGUCGUCCUUCCCUAUCGUCAUGUACUUUGCUUUGUGCUGGUUUAUCUCUAGUCUUCUUCUCUAUCUAAUUUUCCAACCGCUUUUAUAAGUGUCAUCUUCGUGUUCACUAUGAUGGCCAGAUCAUCUGCAUAUGCUACUAGUUGAAGUUGAUUUCUAAUAAUGUUUUUGUUUGCAAAGUUUUUCCUUCUUUUGAUUAUUUCCAGUAUCAGGUUAAAUAGUGUCGGGUAGAUAGACUCACCUUAUUUCACGUCUUUCUUUAUAUUGAUCUCCUUAGAAGUUGUUCCGUAGAAGUUGUGUAGUUUUUUAGACUCACUGUUAGCAUAUGUUCAUUCAUUUUUCUGGGAUUCCAACAUUCUCUAGUUCCUCCAUGAUUUUCGUCCGAUUUAUUGUAUCAAAAGCGUUUUUGAAGUCUAUGAAUAUUAGGCGCAUUUCUCUGUUCUAUUCUCUCGAUUUUUUAAUUAUUUGCUCCACUGUAUAUAUGGAUUAAUCAUCAACCUCCACGGUCUGAAUCCGUUCUGGUAUUCUUUUAAUAUUCGUUCAGCGCAUGACUUGUCUCAUGUUAUGUAUGUUUGCUUGUCUGGUAGUCUUUGUUAGUCUUUAGUUUUUAGUUUCCUGCUAGUUUUUUGGUUUCCUAGGUUUUAAUUUGUUUUUGUACUUCUUCUGUGGGAAUUUCUACCUCGUCGUUGUACUGCCAUACUUCUUCAUCACAGUGUGUUUCCUUCGUAUAUAGUGAAUAGCAUUUUUUCGUAAUAUUCUUCCCAUAUUCUGGUGAUCCGUUUGUCUUCAAAUACGGUUUCUCCUUUUUGGUUUUUGAGUCCUCUGGUUUUAAUGCUGGGCGUAUUUUUGGUUGCUCUGACUUUUUUGUAAAAUUGUUUUAUUUUAUGGUUUUUUCUGUCUUUUUCAAUUUCCUCCAGGGAAAUCAUUCAUUUUUCUUCUUUUUAUUUAUUACGUUGGCCUUGUUUCUCGCUAUUUGGUAUUCUUCCCAGUUUUGUUCAUUCCGUCAUUCUGGCGGAGUUUUUUUAGCGUUCUGUCUGUUUCGCAGUCUUCAUCCUCUAAAUAGUAGGUACGUAAAUAUGGGGUUUUGGGGUUUACCCCUCCCUCCUCAAGGUAUAUGAAAAAUAUACAGUGUGUCUGCGUAACUUGGAACUAUAUGGGAAACUUUUUUAAUAUCAAUUUUACGAAGAAAAGUUAUUCUUUAUAAAGUGCUCUGCAUAGUCUAAAACCUAAGACUCAAUCAUCAGAUAUCAAAUUUUAUCAACAGUAUACGAGGUAUGUCAAAAAAUAUGAAUUUCGCUCAAGAGUAAAGUGCCUUUAUAUUUCACAAUAUCGAAAAUUUUCAUUGAGAAAAGUUGCUUUUAAUUAAAAAUUAUGUUAUAAUCUGCAUUUACACUCUUCUAAUUAAAAAAUUUUUUUUUUGAAAAUCUUCCUCAAAUCACGUACACCCAACGUCAUUUUUAUUUAUGAUAGCUCCGGUAUUAGUAAUUUUACGAAAAAAAGUUAUUCUUCAUAAAACGUUCUGCAUAGCCUAACAACUAAGAUAAAAUUAUAAGAUAUUAAAUUUUGUCAAUUUUGUACGAGAUAUGUCAAAAAAUAUGAAUUUCGCUGAAGAGUAAAGUAUCUUUAUUUUUCACAAUAUUGAAAUUUGUUUUUAUAGAAAGUUGUUCAGAAUUAAAAUCUAUGUUUCAAUAUGCAAUUGCAUCCUUCCAGUUGAAAUAUUGUCAACUAUAAAGGUAUUUUACUCUUGAGCGAAAUUCAUAUUUUUUGACAUACCUCGUAUAAAAUUUAAAAAAAAAUGAUAUCUUAUGAUUGCAUCUUGAUUUUUUGACUAUUCAGACAUUUUUAUAAAGAAUAACUUUUUUUCGUAAAAUUAAUAAUGGAGUUAUCUUAAAUAAAAAUGAUGUUGGGUAUCCAUAAUUUCACGAAAAUUUUCAAAAUUUUUUGUUUUUCAAUUAGAAGCGUGUAAAUGCAUAUUAUAACAUAAUUUUUAAUUACAAACAACUUAAUAACAAUUUUUGAUAUUGUGAAAUAUAAAGGCACUUUACUCUUGAGCAAAAUUCAUAUUUUUGGACAUACCUCGUAUAUUAUUGAUAAAAUUUGAUAUCUGAUGAUUGCAUCUUAGGUUUUAGAGUAUGCAGAGCACUUUAUGACGAAAAACUUUUUUUCGUAAAAUUGAUAUUAAAAAUGUUUCCCAUAUGGUUCCAAGUUACGCAGACACACUGUAUAAAAAAGAAUAGAAAAAAGUAACUUGUCUUUCACAAGCAAUACAAAAGAAAUUUCGGUGCCCAAGCUAUUUUCCUCGUGAGGAAAAUUUUUGGUGCGCUACUGCUCCUUGGAUGUGUCGCGUUUUGUCAAGUUUAUGAUUUGGUCACCCUAUUGUACACCCAUCUUCUGGUUAUUUAUAAAAAUAUGUUGCCCCUGAUUUGAAAAUUUUAACUAUUUUAAAUAGUAUAAUUAAUUGCAGUAUAUUUUAACAGCAUAUAAUGUUGUUAUUUUCACAACUUCUCAGUGUACUUCAAAGUGGUUCAUAAACAUAUUGAACAUUAAUUAUUAGGUAUACUUUUGCUCAUUCUUGUUAAUCAGUUAUAUAGUUAUUUAAAUUGUUUACACUGCAUUGCAGGAUAUUCAAUCUGCAUGCAGUUUUUCUUGUGAUAAUAGAUUUUUAAGAAUUGUAUGGGACUAUGUAUUGCUUUAAUGUAUUUAUGUUUUAUAAUAAAACAGUGUAACAUAAAAAGCAAAA
rnacentral:lncRNA from 1 species